CUGUAGAGCGGAGCCUCCCUCCCUCGCUCUGCGCUGAGCACGGGGGGCAGCUUGCUUCUCCCCCGCGGGGCGUGUGGGGCCGCUUCCCCCGCAGAGGGCCGGGGGGAGGCGCGCCCGGCAAACAGGCUCUUCUCUAGCACGCCGAGAGCGGGGACCGGUCGAGCAUGAAUGAAACGGGAGGGAGCCACGCCUGCCGCGCCGCUGAAGCAGGAAGUAUCCCGAGCAGCAAGGAAACACCAGCCAGGGCUGCGCUGAGACCGUGCGCUGAAAGCUGAUCUCCAGGCGCGAUUGUAUUGGGAAAGCCUUUUGAAGAUACGCCGUUUGCGUGGAAGAGGCUGUACGCAAGAUGAUCCCAGGCCGGCACACUCUUGCAUGAGUAGUUGCACUGGCUUCAGUGAGACUAGACUGUUCGCACGGUUGAGUGAAGAGUUGGCCAUUCAAAGUGACAGAAAAUAUCAACGAGGAGACCUAAAAGGAGAUCUGCUUAGUGUGACAUCUCUUCAGAACCAUUCUACAAAGUGCAAUUACUCAACAUUCAGAGCAUCUUUGAUAAAAAGCCUGAAUCCAGGACAAUCCUUUUCCAAAUAUAGCAUUUUGUCACCUAAAACCCAGAUCCUGGCAGUGAAGUAAAUGGCUCAACUUCCCCCUGCAGUUCGCUUCAUCGUUUUAUUUACAAGCGAUCAGUGGUGCAGGGCCUUCAUUUUUGUUCUUACCUUUUUGCUAUAUGCUAGUUUCCACUUGUCAAGGAAACCUAUUAGUAUAGUUAAGGGAGAACUACAUAAGCACUGUGCUCCUCCAAAUGAAAUUGAACUCAACUCCUACAAAGACUAUGCCAUCCAGAUUCAGCCUGUUAAAAAAUUAUUUAAUGAGUCUCAGUGUGGUUGGGAGCCAUUUGACAAGAACAAUUACAAGCAAUUACUGGGAGCCCUGGAUUACUCAUUUCUGUGUGCUUAUGCAGUUGGAAUGUAUUUGAGUGGUAUAAUAGGAGAGCGACUGCCUAUCCGGUAUUACUUAACAGCUGGAAUGCUUGCCAGUGGACUCUUCACUGCAAUGUUUGGGUUGGGCUAUUUUUGUAAUAUACAUAACCUGUGGUUCUACAUGAUAGCUCAGAUAGCUAAUGGAUUGGUGCAAACCACUGGCUGGCCCAGUGUUGUUACCUGCAUUGGCAACUGGUUUGGAAAAGGAAGGAGAGGUUUGAUCAUGGGAAUCUGGAAUUCUCACACUUCCGUAGGGAAUAUCUUAGGAUCCUUAAUUGCUGGUUACUGGGUAUCUACCUGCUGGGGUCUGUCUUUUGUGGUUCCUGGUGUUAUAAUUGCUUGCCUGGGGAUCGUUUGUUUUCUGUUUCUCAUUGAACACCCUAAAGAUUUAAGUUGCGCUCGCAAACCAUCCAGUAGCUCAAAGUCCUACAUGAAUGGUACAAAUAAAUUCAGAGUCCAUAAGCCAACCUUAAAUCUUAAAGAAACCAACAAACUUCAGGAUCCAGCAAUGCAGUGUUUGCUUCCGGACAGAGAGAACUGCACACUGAACUCUAAUUUUGCAGUCAAUGGGGAAGGUGGAACUAGAAUGUCAGCUAUAAGCUUCACAGGCGCUUUGCGAAUACCUGGAGUCAUAGAAUUCUCUCUCUGUUUGUUGUUUGCUAAACUGGUCAGUUACACUUUCCUUUUCUGGCUUCCACUCUAUAUCACAAACGUAGAGCAUCUUGAUGCAAAAAGAGCUGGGGAUCUUUCCACAUUGUUUGAUGUGGGUGGAAUCUUUGGUGGCAUUUUGGCAGGCAUGAUAUCAGAUAGACUGGAAAAAAGGGCUUCAACCUGUGGAAUGAUGUUACUGCUAGCAGCACCUGCCCUAUACAUGUUCUCUGCAAUCAGUAAAAUGGGCCUAGAAGCUACCAUAGUUAUGCUGCUUAUCAGUGGAGCCCUGGUGAACGGUCCUUAUGCGCUGAUCACAACUGCGGUCUCAGCUGACUUGGGUACCCAUAAAAGUCUGAAAGGAAAUGCAAGAGCCCUAUCCACAGUUACGGCUAUCAUCGAUGGAACAGGUUCUGUAGGUGCUGCUUUAGGGCCUCUGUUAGCUGGUCUCAUCUCUCCCUCUGGUUGGAAUAAUGUAUUUUACAUGCUAAUGAUGGCAGAUGCAUUUGCCUUACUAACUGCCUGAAUGCCCUUCAUCAAAUCUCUUAACUUCUUUGUGCCUCUGUUUGCCCCUUGCCAAGUUCUUACUCCGUCUUAUACGAAAAGAACUCCAGUGUAAGAUGGACCAGACCUUGUUUAAAGAACACUGAAUUAUGAUAUCUCGGACAUGGAAUUAAGGUCUUCAUGUGUGAUCAAAACUCCACCCUCAAAAGACUGGAAUAAAUUAUUCUGUAUUUGAAAUUUGUCUUGUGGAGCAUUUUGCACAUUUACCAGGAGAGGAUUGAGAAAUUCAGUUGGUGAAUUCCUGGUGAAGUUUUCUGUUUUUGUUUUGUUUCCUGUUUGCACAUGCAUCAAUCUCUCAGGAUGGUGACUGUUUAUCACAUGAAGAGACAGAAGCUUUGGAAAGCUGCUAGCUGUAUGCCUUAACUGAGCCAAAAGAGAAAUACCAAGUGCCUUUUGAUUCAUUUUGAUAGGAUAUUUUAAGUAAAUCUUUAAACUGCUUAUUUUUAACAAAAUGAAAGGAGAUUUGAGAAUAGAGCACAAAAAAGAAAAUGAACUCUCUUCAGAUGCUCCAGCAGUGGAAUGUGCCAAUGAUAUUACAAAGCAUUUGUGAGCAAAAUGUCCUUUAAGAACAUAAGAAUGGCCAUACUGGGUCAGACCAAAGGGUCUUCCGACAGUGGCCAGUGCCAGGGUCCCCAGAGGGAAUGAACAGAACAGGUAAUCCUCAAGUGAUCCAUCCCCUGUUGCCUAUUUAUGCCACAUUUUAAAAGAUAAGGUCAUCACACUCUAUGUGAAGGUACCAGCUGGCUCAGAUUCACUGCUAUUCAAUAUCCUGAAACAGUUUAAAACAGUAAGAAAGUGGUCUGAGCAUAUUAUCAGACUUUAACUACAGCACUAACUGAUCCUACACAGUAAAGUCCAAGGGCAGCAUUCUGCUCUUUUAUGUAUAAUAUAUUGGAACUUGUACAUAAGUAGUUACAAUGUACUGUAAAAAAAAAAAAAAAAAAAAAAAAAAAAAAGUAGCCUACACUGGCUCUCUGGAUGGGGAGUUUUGCUCAUUUGGGGUUGUCAGAAAAGGAUACUCAAACAACAAAGAGACUUAUUAAGGUGAAGCAUUUCCUGUAAGGAGUUUGAAUGAUUUUGAGGGCAUUAUACACUGGUUGAACAAACUUCAUUGAAUUGUUGUGUUGUUAAUUCAAUAGGCUACUUUGGAGUUGCCGGUUAUUUUUAAUUUGGAGGGCAAAGGCAUGGUCUCAUCUAUGACUGAAGCUUUAGCACUAGCUCCUAUUUUUUUUUUUUAAUGGGUGAACAAAAAAUUGACUGGUUUAAACCCUGAUCCUGAAAUGGUGUUGAGUUCAGGCGCCCCCAUUGACUUCAGUGGGGCUGGAUGCAGAAGCCGGGAAUCUGUCCACCCAGAGCUCAUUGCAUUGCUCAUUGUUUAAUCAUAGCACCGAAAAUCUGUCAAAAGACUAAUGUUACAGUCCAAGUACAGAGCCAAAGUUUAUGGUUUUUAAAAAAACAAACCUGACCCACAUACUAGAUGUAAAGUGGAUAGAGGAAAUUCAGAGGUUUAUAUUAUCCUGCAAGUGUUAGUGUUUUCAUAAUACAUUGUUUCUUCUUGAGCUGACAGUUUUUAAUCUCCUUCCAAUAGAAGACAAGCUUCUGGUGAAUAUUUGUAAGAUGUACAAUAAUAUUAAAGGGAAUUUCUAUAAAAGAGAUGUUUAUUAUGUGGACUAUAAAGGUUAAAUAGACUUAAACUGUGUAUUGUUAUAAUGUGUAUUUAUUAAACCUCUCCGUAACUGUU